rnacentral:miRNA from 1 species
UGAGGAAUCACUAGUAGUCGU